UGGCGGACGGGUGAGUAACGCGUGGAUAACCUGCCUCACACUGGGGGAUAACAGUUAGAAAUGACUGCUAAUACCGCAUAAGCGCACAGGGCCGCAUGGUCUGGUGUGAAAAACUCCGGUGGUGUAAGAUGGACCCGCGUCUGAUUAGGUAGUUGGUGGGGUAACGGCCCACCAAGCCGACGAUCAGUAGCCGACCUGAGUGGGUGACCGGCCACAUUGGGACUGAGACACGGCCCAA
rnacentral:rRNA from 1 species